rnacentral:rRNA from 1 species
ACGCUAGCUACAGGCUUAACACAUGCAAGUCGAGGGGCAGCAUUUCAGUUUGCUUGCAAACUGGAGAUGGUGACCGGCGCACGGGUGAGUAACACGUAUCCAACCUGCCGAUAACUCGGGGAUAGCCUUUCGAAAGAAAGAUUAAUACCCGAUGGUAUAAUCAGACCGCAUGGUCUUAUUAUUAAAGAAUUUCGGUUAUCGAUGGGGAUGCGUUCCAUUAGGCAGUUGGUGAGGUAACGGCUCACCAAACCUUCGAUGGAUAGGGGUUCUGAGAGGAAGGUCCCCCACAUUGGAACUGAGACACGGUCCAAACUCCUACGGGAGGCAGCAGUGAGGAAUAUUGGUCAAUGGGCGCAGGCCUGAACCAGCCAAGUAGCGUGAAGGAUGACUGCCCUAUGGGUUGUAAACUUCUUUUAUAUGGGAAUAAAGUUUUCCACGUGUGGAAUUUUGUAUGUACCAUAUGAAUAAGGAUCGGCUAACUCCGUGCCAGCAGCCGCGGUAAUACUGAGGAUCCGAGCGUUAUCCGGAUUUAUUGGGUUUAAAGGGAGCGUA